UACGUAGGGUGCAAGCGUUGUCCGGAAUUAUUGGGCGUAAAGAGCUCGUAGGCGGCUCGUCGCGUCGGCUGUGAAAACCUGGGGCUCAACCCCGGGCCUGCAGCCGAUACGGGCGAGCUAGAAUUCGGUAGGGGAGACUGGAAUUCCUGGUGUAGCGGUGAAAUGCGCAGAUAUCAGGAGGAACACCGGUGGCGAAGGCGGGUCUCUGGGCAGUAACUGAUGCUGAGGAGCGAAAGCGUGGGGAGCGAACAGG
rnacentral:rRNA from 1 species